AUAGAAAUACCUGGGUGACGCUGAGGUGGGUGGAGCAUGCUCGGGUGGAGAGGGCGUUGCAUUGCUGUGACUCGGCUUCAGUGUCGUCUGAGAGGCACACGGAACAGUGUGGAGUAGUGAUUGAAGUGCAUUAGAAGAGUUGCUGUACCUAUUUGGAGUGUGUACAGGAGCGUGUGCGUUCAUAAACCAUGUGACUCUGAUGAGGCUGUGCGGACCAGAGCGGCUUGUUAUUGCUUUUCUGAAUUUUCUGAUGCGGAUGUAGCCUCAGAGCUUGUGCAAUAUUGCACAAUCUAACUCUUAUAAAAAAAUACUGCCAAACUUAAAGGAAACGGCUGUGGUAUUGUUUGUCCGUCAAAGAGGAAGCAACAGAAUCACUUUGGUCCACUGUGGUUGUAUUCAAGU